rnacentral:rRNA from 1 species
GACAGAGGGUGCAACCGUUGUUCGGAAUUACUGGGCGUAAAGCGAGUGUAGGCGGUCUGAAAAGUCGGGUGUGAAAGCCCCGGGCUCAACCCAGGAAGUGCACUCGAAACUGCCAGGCUAGAGUAUCGGAGAGGUUGGUGGAAUUCUCGGUGUAGAGGUGAAAUUCGUAGAUAUCGAGAGGAACACCGGUGGCGAAGGCGGCCUUCUGGACAGCCACUGACGCUGAGACGCGAAAGCGUGGGGAGCAAACAGG